GGAGUGAGGGAUGAACAGGCCACAGCCUCCUGGGCAGAAGUAGCCCCUUUGGGGUCAUGGAAAUUGUCUUCUACAAAGGAGGAAACAUCCUACAUCAUAAAGUAGAAUGGUACCAUCCCAGAAGAUGCUCCAACCCAACACUUCAGCCAAGUGCCAAACAGUUGCAGGACGUCUCCUCAAACAUCUUCCAAAGCAGUUGUGAAACAAGGACACACGCAGCAUUGACACCACUUGAAUGAUUAUUUUGUUGCCCACUGGACUUGGCUUGGCAAACCAAAAGAUGCACAAAAUGUUUUCCUAGUACUUAAGGAGAUUCCAGCAUGACAAGAUCUGGGACCAUCAAAGAAAAAACUAUUUAAUGACUUGUUUGGAACUUUUGAUCAGAUUUGUUUUGGAAGGAUACAUUUUUUUUCUAAUUGUAGAAAGUAUUAUGGAGACUGUGUUGUUUAUUAGCAGACUACCUCAUUGCCAACCACAUUUUAACUGCAGAACUGACUAUUCAUAAAACGAGCUAAAGAAGGGUUAUAAAUAUGUCACCUUACAGCAAACUGUAAAAAAAUUGAAAAAAAUUAUAACAAGUGAGCUAAGUAAUAGUCAAGUUGUUCUACCAAAUGAUUUGUGAAAGGGCUUUUAUUUUUUAGCAUUUUCUGGGUUUUAGAAGUAUGUGUUGGGUUUUGGACCUAUAGAGUUAGGUAGUUUUGGAAGAAUGGAGGGAACAUGCACUCAAGUCCAAAGACCUGUGGAUGAACUUCUGUGUUACUAUUUGUAAUAAAUUGAGUGACUUUUGGAGCAA